rnacentral:rRNA from 1 species
AACGCGAAGAACCUUACCAACCUUUGACAUGUCCAGUAUGGGUUCGGGAGACCGGAUCCUUCAGUUCGGCUGGCUGGAACACAGGUGCUGCAUGGCUGUCGUCAGCUCGUGUCGUGAGAUGUUGGGUUAAGUCCCGCAACGAGCGCAACCCUCAUCUUUAGUUGCCACCAUUCAGUUGGGCACUCUAAAGAAACCGCCGGUGACAAGCCGGAGGAAGGUGGGGAUGACGUCAAGUCCUCAUGGCCCUUACAGGUUGGGCUACACACGUACUACAAUGGUGGUGACAGUGGGUUGCGAAACCGCAAGGUGGAGCUAAUCCCCAAAAGCCAUCUCAGUUCAGAUUGCGCUCUGCAACUCGAGCGCAUGAAGUUGGAAUCGCUAGUAAUCGCAGAUCAGCACGCUGCGGUGAAUACGUUCCCGGGCCUUGUACACACCGGCUAC